GAGCCCUGCAAAGCUGGCAUUAUUCUUCUCAUUCCAUAAAGAAGGAAACUGAGGCUAGGCAGAUUACGGGACUUGCCUCAAGUCCCACUGCUUGGAAGUGGCAAAGCCAGGAUUCCAGUCUAGGUUGGUCUGACUCCAAAGACUUAGUCCAGCGCUGAGCCCUAAGCACGAGGUUGUGGGAGAUGCCACUUGCUGUGCCUCCCUGAGCAACCCAGCCAGACUGCAGUUUGUUCUGUUCCAUCGAAGAUCACAGCUCAGAGACUCUCUUCUGUUUUUUAUCCACCGGAACCUCCAAGAAAAGCCACUGACAAGAUUAAGACAAUAUUAGAGAGGCAACUGAGAUAUAGAAGAGACAUCACAGGAAGCAGGAAACCACUCUGUCUUGAGCCGCCUACUAUGUGCUUUAUGACCUAUUUGCUAUCCCAGGGCAAUUUUCCACCUUUGAAGUCCCCGGAAAGCCCUGCCAAGAGCUGUUCUGGUUUGAGGAGGCUGCUGGGGCAGGCAGCCGGUGCCGUUGCCUCAGAGGGUGCCAGAACUGGAACAUCAAGACAUCAAAAGCGAAGGUGGCAGUGGAG
rnacentral:lncRNA from 1 species